rnacentral:lncRNA from 1 species
GUGGCGUGAAGUGAAAAGAAGUGAAGAUGCAUGCGUGCAGUCUUCUAAAGUGAUGCUAGCAAUUUUCUAUUUUAAAUGGAGAAAUAAGAAACCUUUUAAGGGUUUCUUUUAGUGAUUUAAAUUAGAAAGGAGUCCCUUGCCAUGUGACAAAAUAUGAGGAUUUUUUGAUUUAAAUCAGGAUGCCAUAUGCAUCCUCUCGUGAGAGCUCAUGCGAGGGG